CACCAAUCAAAAUUGAUUACGGGGAGUGAAGAUGUUACUGUGUGUGGUUGCCAGCCUCUGAGUAAAGCACAUGCCACAGUGAGUGCUGAGAAUGCAGGGGAGUCGGGAAACCUUCAUUAACAUAAAAGCCACUAGUAGAAACCACACAGGCAUCUGAUUUUUAGUUUUCUUUUUUUAUGAUACAACAGCGAAGCAUGCUUACGUCAAAACCUUUUGAAUAUACACAAAACACAAGCCUACAAUGAAAAGUACUUAUAAUCUCAUCACCCAGAAGCAAUUGCUACUAACAUUUUGGUGUUUUUCUAACCAAUAUUUUCAGAGAACUUUUUAAAAAGUGGGUGCAUAUAAAAUUUUGUAUGUUCAUUUUUACCUUUUUGCACUAUAGCAGCACCGCUGCUAAAAUUCUUCAUCAUUUGUGAACGUUACUUGAAGUCUCAUGUUUUAUCCUAUGCUCUCUUCCAUCAUUGAGCCUCAAUAGGCUAUUUACAAUAUUUAACUUCAUAUAUAACACUGUUGGGACCACCUUUGUCAAGACAUUGAAGUAUUUCCUCAACUGUCUUACAUAUUAUGUCUUCAGGAAUUGAAAUUACUGUUCAAACAAUAAUAAUUCUAGAGGUUCUAGCUACAUAUUUCCAAGUAAUUUUCCAAAAAAUUAGGUGGAUGAAAGCCACAGCACUGCACUGAUUACCACAUAGUAGAGAUUUCUUUGCAUUCAUAUGGGGCCAAAUUGAGAGGCAACAUUCUCCAAAAGUCACCAGGACAAUAGCCAUCACAUCUCUGCAUCAUGUGGGAACAUGCUGGACAAGCCAAGCUGCAGAGCCAAAGCUGCAGGCUACAACAUCACAACCUCUUCCUGACAGUGCUGCUCUUCGCACAGGAAGAAUAUGAAAUCUACAGAGGUACUGGCAACUUAAAAAUAUUUCAAACCUAAGCCAAAAUACCUCAUGCACAAAGCUACAUCAUUGUACUGGUUAUGAGCCAUUCCUGCACCUGGAGAAAGAAUCCGAACAUCAUCCCUGGAUAGUGUUGGCUGAGCAGGCAGGACCUUGAGUAGGUCUCAGCAGGGACAUACAGACUUGGGCCAACAUGAUCACUGUCAUCCAGGUCCCUGGUGCUACAAAAGGCCAGGGCCAGCGAGCAUGAGACUGAGCAGAAGUGGAUUUCCUAGUGGGCGAGCGGCCAUCUCUGGGAUGCCUGGGGAAGCUUCCCUAGGCAGGAUACAAAGUUAUCGCCAGGUCUCUGAGCAUCAGGAGACAGUCAGGGUGGCAUGCACCCAGAAGGGCAGGCAUCCAGUGUCUGGAGAAUGAGACACCUAAGCAGGGCCUUGGCUGAUGGAGCAUCAGUAGGGGUGGGAUAUGAACGAGGCAGGGAGAAUGAGGGAACGUCACAUCCAAAAUCUGGCUAGGUCAGAUAUUUCUUAGGGAAGAUUUUUAGAUCCUAAGAAGCUGAAUAGAGAACCUCAAAGAGAAUGGCAGCGAAACAUCUCCAUCAGGUGUGCAAUUGUUUAAGAUUUCAUCUUUAAGAGGCCAGGAGAUGGAUGGUUAUUCAAGAGAUUGAAAUGUAACAUUUUUAUUUAAAACAUCAUAAAAGUAGAUGUCUAGGGGCCAAAUGGGCAAGUGCUACUCAGUUGAAGGAAUGUAGGAACUCAACAUUUCAGAAUCGUCCCUGCUGGGCUUUGACCAUCUGAUGGAAUUUUGAGACAGCAUGAUGCGACUAGUUCUAGGGUUAAAAAGACGCACUUUAAUGUCACCUGAACAUAACACUUCAGAAGAAGGUGAUAAACUUUUACACCCACCCAGGCUGAAGCUGGAGGGGAGUGGAGUUUCUGAAGCUGUGGCACAUGGUGCACAGGUCCAGCAAGUUCUCGGGCACCAGCAGUGCCCACGGUGGAAGACAGGCAGGACAGACGAGGGUGGAGGAAGGAGCCCAGGGCAGAGCCAG
rnacentral:lncRNA from 1 species